CAAUGUCUAAUCACACUAUCGCUCGCACCAUCAAUACUGACCAGUCAAUACUUUUCCUGAACGCUGAAGCUGUCGGAUUGACCCUGUUACUAUGAUGCGCUUCACAAUAACCAUCUUUGUGUGUAUGUUGGUGUCUGGACUGGUCGUAUCGGAUCCUGUUCGGAACAUCAAUGCCCGGGAGUCGAACGAAGCAGCUGUACACGACCAGGAAGCACGUGGCAUUGGCAGAUGCGCCAAAUAUCCAGAUGGUUCACAAGAGCAGCGUAUGUGCAUUUGUCAAGAGACUGGCAACUAUUGUGCUUAUUGAACGUUCGACAGUAUAAUACGUGGACCACCCAAGGCAAUGACCGCCAUUAGUGAACAUGAAUAAAAUAUCUUAAAUCGUUGAA